rnacentral:rRNA from 1 species
AGCGAACGCUGGCGGCAGGCUUAACACAUGCAAGUCGAACGGGCUUCUUCGGAAGUCAGUGGCAGACGGGUGAGUAACACGUGGGAACGUGCCCUUCGGUUCGGAAUAACUCAGGGAAACUUGAGCUAAUACCGGAUACGCCCUUAUGGGGAAAGGUUUACUGCCGAAGGAUCGGCCCGCGUCUGAUUAGCUUGUUGGUGGGGUAACGGCCUACCAAGGCGACGAUCAGUAGCUGGUCUGAGAGGAUGAUCAGCCACACUGGGACUGAGACACGGCCCAGACUCCUACGGGAGGCAGCAGUGGGGAAUAUUGGACAAUGGGCGCAAGCCUGAUCAAGCCAUGCCGCGUGAGUGAUGAAGGCCUUAGGGUUGUAAAGCUCUUUUGUCCGGGACGAUAAUGACGGUACCGGAAGAAUAAGCCCCGGCUAACUUCGUG